GAUGAACGCUGGCGGCGUGCCUAAUACAUGCAAGUCGAACGCGCAGCGAGAGGUGCUUGCACCUUUCAAGCGAGUGGCGAACGGGUGAGUAACACGUGGAUAACCUGCCUCAAGGCUGGGGAUAACAUUUGGAAACAGAUGCUAAUACCGAAUAAACCUUAGUAUCGCAUGAUAUCAAGUUAAAAGGCGCUACGGCGUCACCUAGAGGUGGAUCCGCGGUGCAUUAGUUAGUUGGUGGGGUAAAGGCUUACCAAGACGAUGAUGCAUAGCCGAGUUGAGGGACGGAUCGGCCACAUUGGGACUGAGACACGGCCCAAACUCCUACGGGAGGCUGCAGUAGGGAAUCUUCCACAAUGGGCGCAAGCCUGAUGGAGCAACGCCGCGUGUGUGAUGAAGGCUUUCGGGUCGUAAAGCACUGUUGUAUGGGAAGAAAUGCUAAAAUAGGGAAUGAUUUUAGUUUGACGGUACCAUACCAGAAAGGGACGGCUAAAUACGUGCCAGCAGCCGCGGUAA
rnacentral:rRNA from 1 species